rnacentral:rRNA from 1 species
AGCGCAGACGGUUGAUUAAGUCUGAUGUGAAGCCCGGAGCUCAACUCCGGAAUGGCAUUGGAAACUGGUUAACUUGAGUGUUGUAGAGGUAAGUGGAACUCCAUGUGUAGCGGUGGAAUGCGUAGAUAUAUGGAAGAACACCAGUGGCGAAGGCGGCUUACUGGACAACAACUGACGUUGAGGCUCGAAAGUGUGGUAGCAAACA